GUGAAGAACAGUGUUUCUCUCCUACAGAGGAUGCAGUGUCCAGGGCAUCAUCUAUGAAUGCAGAUAGCCUUUACCGGUCACCAAACCUACCAGCACCAUGAUCUUGAACUUUCCAGCCUCCUGAACUAUGGCAUCCUGCUCUGUUGCCCAGAUUAGAGUGCAGUGGCUCGAUCAUAGCUCACUGCAGCCUUGAGUUCCUGGGCUCAAGGAAUCCUCUUGCCUCAGCCUCCUGAAUAGCUGGGACUGCAGGUUCUAUUCUGAGGUACUAAGGUUAAGACCUCAACAUACGAAUUCUGGAGGACACAAUUCAACCCAGAAGUCUACCUUGUAUUGGGUCCUCAAGGCAAGGCUGCAAACCCUGGGGGGUUUGUAGCCCAGUCCUACCUCCCAUGAGCUAAUGAAUGUAGAAUGUCAUGAAUAAUUCUCCAAGAAGUAGAAAUGACUGGGAUACAAACCCUGAGACCAGCAGUUGCCAAAGUCACAAGAGGUGAUUUGCGUGAUCCAGACAGUGAUGCAGCAGCAAAGCCUCCGUUUUGACUUUCAGAGAUUUGGGAGCAGUGAGGUGCAGUGCCCUUUGGAAAGGGCUCAGGGAGGACUGACAGGACUAGAGUUGACAACCAUUCAUCCAACAAACUUUUACUGCACGAGGAAGAGAGGUGAUCAAAGCACUGCCCUUGUCCCCAGGAAGCUCGCUAGUGCAUGGGACUGUGCAGGUGUCUUUACCUCUGGAUUAGGCAUUCGAUGUCAGGCCAUGGCUGAGCAUCCAUCCUCUCUAUGCUAAUUUUUUCCAAAAGUCAAGAGUUUGGAAGAACACUAAUGUGUUUUUCUUCCAGCCUUUCCUACACAAAUGACAACAUCAUUACCCUCAGCUUUUAAAGUGCAAGUCUGUACAGAGAUCCCAGAGUCAAGGAGGGCGCCUGAGUAAUUUGAAAUAAUUACCUUUUCUUUUUCCUGCCUGAGUCUUGCGUAUCUGUGAAUCAGCAAUGUGGAAACUGGGCUUCAAAAAAUUAAGGGAGGCUUAAAGUGAGCAAAGCAGAGAAGAGCAUUGGCAAGAGCUGAGCGCUGCCACAGCAGGAACAUCAUGCCGAUCGUCAUCUAAGGGAGCUCAUGGCGCUGUCUGCCUCCUCUUAGCAACAUCCACACAGGCUGGUACAGUCAGAUCAUUGUGACUUGGACAGGGAUGAAAAUACUCAGCUGACACCAGUAGCUCCCAGCACAGCCAGGGUAUUCUAGAGGUGUGUGGUGUCAGGACAGCCUGUGGGGCCUCAUUUAUUUACCUGAGUCAUCUGAACAAAGCGGUGACUGGCUUUGCCUCGCUCUGGCAAGAACUCACAACAAAGCCAAAGCCUCUUCCUCCACGGCCUUUGCUCCUGCAGCACAGCACUGGCAUCUUUUUAGCAUCAUAGACACUGUCACGUGGCAAUCAAUGACAGAUGAACUGUCCCUUCCCUGGGCCACAAGUUCUUCAAGGCGGGAGCCUCAGCCCAGUUUCUUCCAUGUCUCCAGGGCCCAGCACAGGGCCUGGCUUCUAGCUGGUUUCUGAUGAAUAAACGAAUGGCUGUAGAGAUGUAGUCUUCGAAACACAAGGGGCUUCUAUAGUGGCAACAUGUUCAACAGCACAGUACUGUAUUGGUUCUUUACAGCUUGCAGGACCCAAAGAAGGAAUGAUUUUUGUUUCCCUGGAAAGGUGUACCUCGUGGGGGCACUGCUCGAGGGAAGGUGCCCACAAGUUGGGGAUCAAGGGAGGCACAGGUUGAUCAAGGCCCCUGGAAUUGAAAUGGAGGUGUUCAUCCUGCGGAGGCUCUGAACAUCUGAGGCAGAGCCUUGAUUCUCCAGGAAAUUGACUUUGCCGGAGAACAAGGCUGGGGGAGGCAGGCUGUCCUGGGGAGGAGUCGUAUUUCAGCCCCACUGAGACCCCCAAAGGAGCACUCCCAUGCUUUACCCUGACUGUCCAUCAGGGGGCAGGCAGAGGCAAGAGAAGAGGAAAGCGUGCGGCUGGUCAGGCCCAGCACAUUCAGCCUGGCAUCCCACACGCUGGGCUGCCUGACUCAGACAAAGCCAGGCCGCUCCUCCUGCCUGUUGUGGCCUCUGUGAUUUUAUAUGGUUUGGCCUGUGACAUCAGACACCACGCGACCAUGGUAACCAAAGUAUACAGCCUGGAGUGAAUGUUAAUAAACAGGAAAGAAACGA